CACGUAGGGUGCGAGCGUUGUCCGGAAUUAUUGGGCGUAAAGAGCUCGUAGGCGGUCCGUCGCGUCGGGAGUGAAAACUCGGAGCUUAACUCCGAGCCUGCUUCCGAUACGGGCAGACUAGAGGUAGGCAGGGGAGAGCGGAACUCCUGGUGUAGCGGUGGAAUGCGCAGAUAUCAGGAAGAACACCGGUGGCGAAGGCGGCUCUCUGGGGCCUUACCUGACGCUGAGGAGCGAAAGCGUGGGUAGCGAACAGG
rnacentral:rRNA from 1 species